rnacentral:rRNA from 1 species
GACGAACGCUGGCGGCGUGCUUAACACAUGCAAGUCGAGCGAUGAAGCUUCUUCGGAAGUGGAUUAGCGGCGGACGGGUGAGUAACACGUGGGUAACCUGCCUUGUAGAGAGGAAUAGCCAUUCGAAAGGAUGAUUAAUACCUCAUAAUAUUGUAGCUUCGCAUGGAGCAACAAUCAAAGGAGCAAUCCGCUACAAGAUGGACCCGCGGCGCAUUAGCUAGUUGGUGAGGUAACGGCUCACCAAGGCGACGAUGCGUAGCCGACCUGAGAGGGUGAUCGGCCACAUUGGGACUGAGACACGGCCCAG